UGCCGUUUCCAUGCGAACGGUAAACAGAGCUGUUUUCUCCUCCGUCACUCCUGUCAUACCCAUGAUAUGAUUCUACCCGCUGAGCCCUGGAUGCCAGAGGGUGAGGAGCUGGUGCUGGUGUUCACAGUAAAGAAGUAACUCAAAGAAGCAGUUAAACUUGGGAGCUUAUAUACCCUUCUUUACAAAGAAAAGAGGGUUUGGGCUUCAAGGGAGUUUGUGGGGAAGUAACUGGGAAACAUAUGGAGAACUAAUGGAAGGUUGACAUAUGGUGUCAGAAAGUGGGAACUGAAUCGAUCUCACCUUCAUGGACUGGCAUCCUCUGGAAAUGGCUACAAUACCUGCACGAGUCCCUUGUGUUCACCACUUCUAUGGACCGCUAGUUCCUCCAAUAAUUUAAAGAAAUCUUUUCUCUUAAGCUGUCACAACGUGGUAGGAUAUAUCUUUGUGAACAAAGAUGAAACAUUUACUUUUUCUCCCUACCUCAUCCCUCCAGAAUUCAGAAACUGUCAGUAAAAGAAGCUUUCCUGGAUUCCAAUUUAAAGCAUCCUAUUGGUCAGUCUAGAGCCUGGUGACUAGGUAUUCUGGAAGCAUCAUCAGAGGAAGACAGCCCUCAAGCCUUGUUGAAAAGGACCUUACCAAGUGCUCCUGACCACUGAUACUACUGCAGAACUAGAAGGCAUUGAACCUUGGAGAUACAUCUCACAGCUAAAGAAGGCUACACCCAACAUUUGGUCCUGUGUGAAUGCUGGAGACCUCCAAAUCAAACUGACCAGAAAGAGAAGCAGCCAACAUCUGAAACAGAUAGCUUUUCCAAGAUGGCUGCACCAAGCGUGUACACCUUUUACUCACUGUUGCACCUUACCUUAUUUUCUGUCUGUCUGUCUUGGAAAGACAAUCCUCUUAUCCACAUCUCCCAAUCUAUUGCCAAAAGGGUAAAUCUUUCUGACUGUUGGGUUUGUCAUCAGAAGCCUCAUUCUGUACAUGAACCUAGAGAAUCUUUUAGCACAUUUAAUUACCAAUCUCUCCACCAUUCCUCUCCUAAGUCCUUAUGCUGUCUAGAACUCCUUGCCUAACCAACUGAACCUCCAGAGAUUGAACUGGUAACAUUGUAACUAUUGUAAAUGCCUCUUGUUGAACUUGGGUAAACACCUCCAGCAAGGUAAAGACAGAACUAGACAGAAUUUGAGCACAAGCUGAAAGAUUCGAUGCAGUGCCCACUGACAUCCCGUAGUUCUUUGAUCUGUUUAGCUGGCUACCCUCAAGAACUGUCUCUUGGUUCAGGUCUAUUCUGCAAUUUGGACUUAGCAUUUUGUUUAUUAUUAUAGAAAUUCUCACUUUUGUAAAACAUCUCUUCUGCAUGGCUUGAUGUUAUAAAAACACCACUUGGAUAAUGGUCGCUCAGUGUUUUGAAAUGAUUGCUAAAGCUUACAAGCCUUCACCUGAGAAACUUCAAGGAACUAAAGACAAUGUCUGCCCUUGAAAGAACUUGAUGGUAAGGCUUUUCUCUGCUCUGGCACUCCUGUUGCUCAAAUGUGGCCUAGGAUCUUAAGGAAAACACUUUCCCUCCUACAUGGGACAUGAAAUACUAGGAAUGAGCCUUUCUGGUUAUGAGAGACCAACAGUGCUUUGAUGACUGAUCAGCAAUACUUUCCACGAAAGAUCUUGAUCAAAAGGGGAAAAAUGUCAAAAUUGACUUUAGUGGAGCCAUUUUAAAAUGGAGUUGGAGCUGCCUCUCCAGAGAAACUGCCCUGCCGUUUUGAACCUUGGACUGGGCCAAACCUUUGGACUGGGCCAAAAUGGCCACUGUUUUACAAGCAAUUGUUUGAGGAGUCAGUAGGAGAAUGGACAUCCUGAUCACAAAGGCUGAGGAUUGCAGACUUUCUGAAGAUAGAAUCAAUACUCAAUCAAUGCUUAGCCAAGACUAACUUCUGCCUCCAACUCCAGUUAAAAUUCUUUGUAACAUAAACCUCCCUUCUUUGCCUUUAAAAGCCCCUGACUUUUACUUCCUAGCUGGAUGCUAUCUGUGCUCCCCAAAAUGAAAUUCUUUGAUCCCAAAUAAAUGCU